CUCAGCCUUGGAAGUGCGCUAGAAAUUGGGAGGCUAGAGUACCGGAGGGGAGAGUGGAAUUCCCGGUGUGGCGGUGAAAUGCGUAGAUAUCGGGAGGAAUACCGGUGGCGAAAGCGACUCUCUGGACGGUAACUGACGCUGAGGCACGAAAGCGUGGGGAGCAAACAGGAUUAGAUACCCUGGUAGUCCACGCUGUAAACGAUGUGUGCUAGUUGUUGGUUUAGCCGCGAGGCGGAUCAGUGACGCAGUUAACGCAGUAAGCACACCACCUGGGGAGUACGUUCGCAAGAAUGAAACUCAAAGGAAUUGACGGGGGCCCGCACAAGCGGUGGAGCAUGUGGCUUAAUUCGAUGCAACGCGAAAAACCUUACCUGGGCUAAAUCCAAGUUGACGGGUCGCUGAAAAGGGCCGUCCCUUCGGGGCAA
rnacentral:rRNA from 1 species